rnacentral:rRNA from 1 species
GUUGCUGGUGUGUUAAAAGGAAAGGAGCAGUUGGAGUGGUCAGUGGUGCCGUUGCUCGGGCUGGUCGGGAGGCGGGGGCGCUGGCGCGGGGAGAGGUUCGCGACGGCACUCGGGCGGAAGCGUCAGUGCCCCUUGCGCUGCUCGAGGGCGCCGCCGCCGCCGGAGGCGCUCUUCCGCUCCCGGCAGUGGGCGGAGCGGCCUAGGCCGAGGGCGGUAUGCGUACGGCUACGAGUCAUGAGGCCCCCAGGCCAGGGGCCCCAGCGCAAGCUGGGGAAGCUGUAGCUCCGGCUGGGAGGCGGCAACCGCGACUGUGUGCUCGUCUAGUUCGAUACGUUCCUGCGCGAGCGCGUAAAGCUCGCCUCCUCGUUCGUCGACCUACGGAACAGGCUGCUCAAGGUUGCCGAAGUCCCGUACUCUUGUUACGUAGGCCUCUACUACUUUUACAGGUGACAUCGAGCACUACGACGGUUAUCCCUCUUCUUGGCGAUAUAACUACAGAAUGGUAAACUACUAUGGUCCCAUGCCGAUUUUAGUAGUCGUUGGUCAGUUUAAAGUCCGUUACUAAUGUAGUUACGUUCGAAACAUUUCCGAUGGCUCCUGUUGUCACAACGUUCUAAAUAAAGGUGGGUUCCUGGUGAUCAUUCCUGUAAACUCCUAAAAACCCUUUACCAAACACUUUUAGUCACAGGACACUAACAAUACGAGUGUGUCAAGCUGUCACAAUUCACACUACUCAUAGAAGGUAACGUUUUACCAGUUCCCUGCAUACCUUUCAUAUUACAAUUCUAAUGCUUCCUGUGUUCUCUAUUCGUAGUUAAUACAGACGCACGACACCUCCACGUCACGUUACUCAGUCCGUUCCAAGUAAGACAUGAGGUAUAUCUCAUAGGACUAACCGGGCUGGUACCGCAUGGUUGUUCGUGACUACGACACGCUGUUUAAGUUUUUGCCAAUGUAGUGUAAGGCUCUCUUGUAGGAUAUCAACGUGUAACGUCACGUCCUUAACCCUCUUGACCACGAAUGUAGUGGUAGGUAUCAAGUUAACUCCCUUAAGAGGAACCUCUGUGUUCGAGAAUACUAGAACAACUUUGACAUUUUUUUAAAUCCAGGGUCGCUUGACCUUACCAAGUUUGACUCGUUGUUAUGUACAAGACGAUGGCACGUUAACGCUUACUCGACUUUCUAGACGACUCCAGCAGUCCGGCAACUCCAUAAAGAUUCCAUCCGACGUUCUACGCGUACGUCACAACGACGUUUACCAGUUGACAUUAAUAAUAAGAGUGACAUACGACAAAAAAAAAACGCUUUCGUGACAUACGACAAACAUAUACGACAUAUCGAUUUGACAUUAAUAAUAAGAGUGACAUACGACAAAGAAACAUCCUUCUUCACCUGACGAUGACAUAACAGCGGGAAGAUAAAGGUAGCAUUUGGUAUCGAAGAACAACGAACAACGCAAACAAUCCCGUCACGUAAUUCUAGUGAAACGGUGGAGAUAAAGCUGGACCAGAGGUUAUAACAAUUCUGUUGACGAACAACUAACAAAUUCUUAGUCAUCUCAAAUGUUGUAGACCACCUGGGUUCGUACAUUUGUCGGGAGGCCCUUAGUAAGGAGCUGGUUUGUCAUCGUCUUAGUACCCAGGGAAAGGGAACACCUACUAAAUAUAACAAAGGGUUCUGUGGUGCUUCUACUUACGGUCCGCAUAUAUCAAUCUACGCUGGUUACGUAGCAACUAACAUAGCUUUAACUUUUGACCCGUAGACCCUGCUAAUAAACUAAUAGAUGAAUCAGGGACACCCUCGGAAAGAGCCUCAACAACUUUUACAUAGGUGAUCACAAUAGGUUCACAAGAUAGAUAUGAUGAGGGAGACAUUUCUUUAUAUUCUCACAAAUCUGGUGAUUUCUCACUGAUGAUCGUUUGAGAGCACGCCGUCGUUCGAUACGUAGAGUCCCUCGGAUUGACUUGGCUGGAAGGAUCAUUUGCCGUCUACUAUCCGGCGUAUGUUACGUUACACGAACACUUUUCCUUGGCCAGAAAAGAAUUAG